rnacentral:misc_RNA from 1 species
UAGCUGCGUUAAGCGGUGUGAAUUGCAGGACACGCCGAGCAUCGGAUUUUUGAACGCAUAUUGCGGCUUUGGGUCAAGUCCCGGAGCCACGUCUGUCUGAGGGUCGGAAAAGAAAAACAUGCUAUAAGCCUACACAUCAAAGUAUAACUCACUUGAAGUAUAACUUUGUUAGGCGAACCGAAGGCAUUGAAAACUCUGCUGUUACGAACUAGGAGUUCCAGCGUAACAACACCACUGUUGCUUCGCUGCCUAUUCGAAGUAGAGUAUAUAAUGCAUAUAUAUUUAUGUUUUUGCGUUAACGCGCACUACAUAUAUAUCACUGUCGACCUCAGAUCAGGCGAGAUUACCCGCUGAAUUUAA